GACCUUAAAGAUGGUGAGUUAGACCUGGCCGGGUAAAGCCAGAGGACACUCAGGUGGAGGUCUGUAGUGGCUCCGAUGAGGACAUCGGUCAUCUGACCUGGGUACAAGUACAUGAGGGCAAAAGACUAAAGAAACCACCCAGCAGCUGG
rnacentral:ncRNA from 1 species